AUUGAACGCUGGCGGCAGGCCUAACACAUGCAAGUCGAACGAGUGGCGGACGGGUGCGUAAGGUCAGGGAAACUGCCUGCUAGAGGGGGAUAACUACUGGAAACGGUAGCUAAUACCGCAUACCAUCGGAUGUGCCCAGGUGGGAUUAGCUAGUAGGUAGGGUAAAGGCUCACCUAGGCCACGAUCCCUAGCUGGUCUGAGAGGAUGACCAGCCACACUGGAACUGAGACACGGUCCAGACUCCUACGGGAGGCAGCAGUGGGGAAUUUUGGACAAUGGGGGAAACCCUGAUGCAGCCAUCCCGCGUGUAUGAUGAAGGCCUUCGGGUUGUAAAGUACUGUUGGCAGGGAAGCGGUAUCUGCAGAAUAAGCACCGGCUAACUACGUGCCAGCCGCCGCGGUAAUAC
rnacentral:rRNA from 1 species